GGUCAUUAUGCCUAUAGCUGUGACAUCAUAAGAAAUGCACUGUUUAUUACCCUCUAUUCUAUAGAGGCUAAUGACAGCUGCCUAAUGGCAGCUAAAGACUGUAAGAAACAGUGAACUUAGGGGGAAUGACUUUUCUGAGCCUUUCUCUUAGGAGUGGUUUGAUAACAAAUAAAAGACAGAUGACCACAUCCCACAGGAGCUGCUGCCUAACACAAGUACCACAUUCAACAGCACCAUCAUUAUAGCAUAUAAGCCUUUGUAACUCAGGCUCCACUCCGACAAACAGGAUAACACCUCUUAGAAGGUUACGUACUUGGGUAGCUACUAUGACAGUUUAAGGUCCAACCAUGUUAUGUGAACAGAUUUACCUGCUGAGAUGACUGCUCAUACAGAUUUUGGGCUACAGACGACCAUGGAGAAGGGCUCUGACAGCAUCACCACCAGUACUGUGAAAUUAUCUAUCUUUGCUGGAAUUUACUUAUCUCAUUUACAAUUAUUAUUUUCUCUUAAUUUUCAUGGCAGAUUGUGCUUUUAGAUAUUUGGGUAAACAGGGCUUUCAACCAGCAAAUUAUAAUACUUUAUAAUCAAUAGUGCUACAGUGUUAAGAACUAAUGUAAAAUUUUCAUUAAAUUGGAGCAGAGUGCAGUUAAAGGAAUGCUAACAAGUAUUGAUGUUUAGAAUGUGUUUAUCAAUGUUAUACUUUUCCCCACUGUACUGAGUUUAUUUUUCCACAUUAAAAAAUAUUAUUUGGUAUCUCUUGGGCUGAGUUUUAAACAAGAUAAAGCAUCUUGUAAAUGAAUUUAUUUUGAAGAAGAAAUAAAACACAAUUUGUGGCUUUUUUCA
rnacentral:lncRNA from 1 species